rnacentral:sRNA from 2 species
CUUUUAAUCUUCUUGAUAUCUCAACUCUAUUCUCAAACACCUCUGUAAUAUGCAGUUCUGCAGCUUUCAUUGGAGUGUUGAAUUCAUAAUUAACAACUCAGAUAUUGACAUCAAAAAGAGCAUUAGAUGUCAAAGAAGAAGUAAUCUCAUCAUCUGCCAAAUCCUCUCUCUAUCAUCCUGUCAAAUCCCCUCAAAUUCAUGAAAUAUCUGAUGACAAAAAGCUGCUGCCUACAUGUACAAGAUCCACAGCCACUAGCCAGCAGCUGAAGAAGACUUGAAAUUGAUGGUCAAAUGAGUGUGAUUCUUUGUGGAUUGGGUGUGAGAUAACUGCUUACUGAUGUUGUCAAAAGAUGAAUUGUCAUAACUUUGAGCAGAGCACUUGUUGGAUGGUUUUUGAUGAUACUUAUAUUCAACUUCUGAGUAGUGAGAUUGUCAGUUGGAUAGAUGAUGUUGAAUGUGGAUAUACAACAGUUAAAAAUCUGUCAAGAAAGAUGACAAAAAGAUUAAUGGAU